UACGUAGGGACCAAGCGUUGUUCGGAUUUACUGGGCGUAAAGGGCGCGUAGGCGGCGAAUCAAGUCAGCUGUGAAAUCUCCGAGCUUAACUCGGAACGGUCAGCUGAUACUGUUUUGCUAGAGUGCAGAAAGGGCAACCGGAAUUCUUGGUGUAGCGGUGAAAUGCGUAGAUAUCAAGAGGAACACCAGUGGCGAAGGCGGGUCUCUGGACAGUUCCUGACGCUGAGGCACGAAGGCCAGGGGAGCAAACGGG
rnacentral:rRNA from 1 species